GCCCCCGGCCCACGCUGGCCGGCUGCGCCUAGCUGUGCGCAUUCCUGGAAUGGGGCGGAUGUCAGUAUCCACGCGAGGGUGUGGAGGCGACGCUGGGGAAGAAGCAGUUCCCGUGUCUGCGACCUUUGUGAAUCCCGGCCAUCCGUCUAGGCCGCUGCAAGUCUCUUGCAAACCAAGACUGGACAAAAAGCUAAAGCGAAUGAGGAAGGGGAUUCCAGGCUUGACUGGCUACUACUCCAAAACCUGAACCCAGUGACCAAUACCACCAGGAAAACUGCGG
rnacentral:lncRNA from 1 species